rnacentral:rRNA from 1 species
GAUGAACGCUGACAGAAUGCUUAACACAUGCAAGUCAACCUGUGGUGGAUGGGCGAGUAACGCGUAAAGAACUUGCCUCACAGAUAGGGUCAACAUCCGGAAACGAAUGCUAAUACCAGAUACUGUGAGAGUGCUAUGCGUCCCAUGAGCUAGUUGGAGAGGUAACGGCUCACCAAGGCGAGGAUGGGUAGCCGGCCUGGGAGGGUGAACGGCCACAAGGGGACUGGGACACGGCCGUUACGCCUACGGGGGGAAGCAGUGAGGAAUAUUGGACAAUGGACGACGGUCUGAUCCGGCAUUUCGGUGGGCACGAUGAAGUUUUCGGAAGAUAAAGUGCGUUCAGUUGGGAAUCGGUACCAACAGAAGAAGGGACGGCUAAAUACGUGCCAGCAGCCGCGGUAAUUC